CCUUCGAUAGCUCAGUUGGUAGAGCGGUGGACUGUAGAAAGUUUCGGAGGAGAUCGUGCAGAAAGAGAUUUGCACCAGCAAAACUCCAUGAUCACCUGAAAACAAUAGAAAUCCAUAGGUCACUGGUUCAAAUCCGGUUCGAAGGA
rnacentral:tRNA from 1 species